GAUAACGCUGGCGGCGUGCCUAACACAUGCAAGUCGAACGCCCUUUCGCUUCGGUGAGAGGGAGUGGCGGACGGGUGAGUAACACGUGGGUGACCUACCCUGCGGUGAGGAAUACCGGCGAGAAAUCGUCGACAAGACCGCAUGCGCUUCCCGCACACGCGAGAAGCAAAGCUCCGCUUUCGGGCGGGGCGCCACAGGAUGGGCCUGCGGCCGAUUGGCUAGUUGGUGAGGUAAUGGCCCACCAAGGCCACGAUCGGUAGCUGGUCUGAGAGGAUGAUCAGCCACACUGGGAUUGAGAACGGCCCAGACUCCUACGGGAGGCAGCAGUGAGGAAUUUUCGGCAAUGGGCGCAAGCCUGACCGAGCAACGCCGCGUGCAGGAGGAAGGUCUUCGGAUCGUAAACUGCUUUUCUCGGGGACGAGAGAGGACGGUACCCGAGGAAGAAGCCCCGGCUGACUACGUGCCAACAGCCGCGGUAAUACGUAAGGGGCGAGCGUUGUCCGGAGUUACUGGGCGUAAAGCGCCCGCA
rnacentral:rRNA from 1 species